GAUGAACGCUGGCGGCGUGCCUAAUACAUGCAAGUCGAGCGAACAGACGAGGAGCUUGCUCCUCUGAUGUUAGCGGCGGACGGGUGAGUAACACGUGGAUAACCUACCUAUAAGACUGGGAUAACUUCGGGAAACCGGAGCUAAUACCGGAUAACAUGUUGAACCGCAUGGUUCAACAGUGGAAGACGGUCUUGCUGUCACUUAUAGAUGGAUCCGCGCCGCAUUAGCUAGUUGGUAAGGUAACGGCUUACCAAGGCGACGAUGCGUAGCCGACCUGAGAGGGUGAUCGGCCACACUGGAACUGAGACACGGUCCAGACUCCUACGGGAGGCAGCAGUAGGGAAUCUUCCGCAAUGGGCGAAAGCCUGACGGAGCAACGCCGCGUGAGUGAAGAAGGUCUUCGGAUCGUAAAACUCUGUUAUUAGGGAAGAACAAAUGUGUAAGUAACUAUGCACGUCUUGACGGUACCUAAUCAGAAAGCCACGGCUAACUACGUG
rnacentral:rRNA from 1 species